AGUGAACGCUGGCGGUAGGCCUAACACAUGCAAGUCGAACGGCAGCACAGUAAGAGCUUGCUCUUACGGGUGGCGAGUGGCGGACGGGUGAGGAAUACAUCGGAAUCUACUUUUUCGUGGGGGAUAACGUAGGGAAACUUACGCUAAUACCGCAUACGACCUACGUGUGAAAGCAGGGGAUCUUCGGACCUUGCGCGAUUGAAUGAGCCGAUGUCGGAUUAGCUAGUUGGCGGGGUAAAGGCCCACCAAGGCGACGAUCCGUAGCUGGUCUGAGAGGAUGAUCAGCCACACGGGAACUGAGACACGGUCCAGACUCCUACGGGAGGCAGCAGUGGGGAAUAUUGGACAAUGGGCGCAAGCCUGAUCCAGCCAUACCGCGUGGGUGAAGAAGGCCUUCGGGUUGUAAAGCCCUUUUGUUGGGAAAGAAAAGCAGCAGGUUAAUACCCCGCUGUUCUGACGGUACCCAAAGAAUAAGCACCGGCUAACUUCGUG
rnacentral:rRNA from 1 species